GGGGAAUAUUGGACAAUGGGCGCAAGCCUGAUCCAGCCAUGCCGCGUGUGUGAAGAAGGCCUUAUGGUUGUAAAGCACUUUAAGCGAGGAGGAGGCUACUUUAGUUAAUACCUAGAGAUAGUGGACGUUACUCGCAGAAUAAGCACCGGCUAACUCUGUGCCAGCAGCCGCGGUAAUACAGAGGGUGCAAGCGUUAAUCGGAUUUACUGGGCGUAAAGCGCGCGUAGGCGGCUAAUUAAGUCAAAUGUGAAAUCCCCGAGCUUAACUUGGGAAUUGCAUUCGAUACUGGUUAGCUAGAGUGUGGGAGAGGAUGGUAGAAUUCCAGGUGUAGCGGUGAAAUGCGUAGAGAUCUGGAGGAAUACCGAUGGCGAAGGCAGCCCUCUGGGACAUGACUGACGCUCAUGCACGAAAGCGUGGGGAGCAAACA
rnacentral:rRNA from 1 species